GGCAAGAUGGCCGAGUUGGUUAUGGCGCCAGGUUAGGGUUAUCUUAACAUGCACCCUGGUUCGGGAAACUGAGCGUGGGUUCAAGUACCACUCUUGUCA
rnacentral:tRNA from 1 species